GUGUUCACUUCAGCAGCACAUACACUAAAAUCGGAACAAUAUAGAAAAGAUUUGCAUGGCUCCUACUUGAGGAUGACAGGAAACUUUAUAGUGUUCUGUGUUUUC